UACGGAGGGGGCUAGCGUUGUUCGGAAUUAUUGGGCGUAAAGGGCGCGUAGGCGGCCCUGUAAGUCAAAGGUGAAAUCCCUCGGCUCAACUGAGGAACUGCCUUUGAAACUGCAGGGCUUGAGGCCGGGAGGGGGUAGCGGAAUUCCCAAUGUAGCGGUGAAAUGCGUAGAUAUUGGGAGGAACACCAGUGGCGAAGGCGGCUACCUGGACCGGUUCUGACGCUGAGGCGCGAAAGCGUGGGUAGCAAACAGG
rnacentral:rRNA from 1 species